GGAGGGUUGGCCGAGUGGUCUAAGGCGGCAGACUUAAGUUUUCAAAAUUUAAGGGUUAUCUGCUGAACGUAAGUUCGCGCGAGUUCGAACCUCGCAUCCUUCA